UUCAGAUGAUGGAGAGCGCGUGCUUGCUGAGUAAAAAGUCCACAUAUUUUUUAACAGAUCUACAAAAAAAUCGAUCGGCAAUUGCUUCGGAUGAUCAAAUCACUUCAGGCACAAACUUUAAAUUGAACUGAAACCACAUAGUAGCAUAGCAUUAACCACGAAAUUAGAGUACCAAAAGCACUACAUAAAACACCCGUACCGUAAAAGAUCACACCUGGAGACACCAUGCAAAACCAAACGACAGACGUAUUAGAAUACAGAAGCAACACCCACAAGUUUCUCCCUUUUUAUUUGGUAGCUAGCUAGGCGACUACUUCUUGCGGAGGUCGCUCCGCAGGUCGCGGAAGUAGGUUUUGGGGUCCUCCUCGAAGGGAGCCCGGAGUAUGUGCAUGUCCCUCCCGGGGGCUUUCAUGGUCUUUUCUUCUUCGGCAGGCUUGGACGAUUCGGCCAUCAGGCUCACCACGCCUGCACCCAAGGCCAAGAUCGCCGCGCCGGCGAUCGCUCCUGCGGCGAGGGCAGAUGAGCUGCUCGACUCCUUGGCCAAGGCAGUGUCACCUGACUCCUUGUUCUCACCAUCUCCCUCUCCACCUUUGCUCUCGCUUGCGCCCAUAUGGAGCUUGGACUUGGGAUAUGCCUUCGGAUAUGGUAAAAGUUUCGAGGUUUCUCUAGCGUCGAAGUGUGAGUGUUCUAUGCCUUGUUCUUAGGGUGAGAGGUCAGUCUUUGGGGUUUACUUUAUAGCGGCUUUGGUGGCUUUGGAGCUUGGACAUGGGAGUAAUUUCAUGACUUAAUGCUGUGCAUUGGAAGACGUCGACCUUGACCUUGACCUUAACCUUCACUUGAAGCGAUUCGUUUCUCGAUGCUCACUCACUCUUUCUGCGUCGAAGACGGAUGAGGCUUGCACUGCUUAAAUUUCCGAUAACAACUUUAGUAGAAAAAACAAAGGAAAAGUAGACGGGGGGGACCCAUCCUAAUGUGGAAAAGAAGACCGCCAAUACUUUAGCAUGCGUUUGAGCAGUCAUCGCUCCUCCCUGUUUCGCCCCUUCUUUUCCCGUACUGCAAGAUGUUUCUUUUAAUAAUUUAAUUUGAAGAAGAGAUAAUGACAUAAAUGAUUUUUAAGUAUUGACUCAAUAUGUAAUGUGAUCUCUAAACUUUUAAUUUAUUUGAUGUGACCAAUGAAUUUCUAAUCUGUUCAAGGUAAUAUUUGAACUUUUGAUAAAUGUUCAAUUUAGUCUUUAGAUUAUUAUAUCCCUAGAUUCAACUAGUCCCCAAAUUAUCUAAUCCAAGGACUAGAUUGAACAUUUACCAAAAGCUUAUAAAUCACAUUGAACAAAUUAAAAGUUCAAAAGUUACAGUGCACUUUAGGUUAAAGUUUAUGGACCACAUUAAACAUUGAAUCAAAGUUCAGAGAUCAUUUGUAUCAUUUUCUCUUUACUACUAAAAACACUAAACUAUAUGUUCUAUAAGACAUUAAUCCCAAACUUUUUUUUUGUAACACUAAAAACCUUCAAUUUAUACCCAAUUGAUAUUUAUCUCAUUUUGACGUGUAGCACCGAUGUGGUACCACUUGAGCACCACAUUUGAAAAAUUUAAAAUAAAAAGGGUUAAUAGCACAGAAAAUCCAAAACUAAUACACCUAUGACAGUUGGCGAGUGUACAAGUUUGUGAUUUUAUACCUUUAAGUUGCCGAGUUGGAUGGUGCAUAUUUGUAACCACAAAAAAUCAUAAACUGGUAUAUUUGUAAUAAAUUUAUCGUUAGUUAAUUUCUGUUAAUAUACCUUUAAGUUGCCGAGUUAGAUGGUGCAUAACAGUUGGCGAGUGUACAAGUUUGUGAUUUUACCUUUCGUUUGUCUUACGUGUAUUAGUUUGUGGGUUUUUUUUUUUAUAAUAUUAAUUUAAUUUAACGAAAAUUAUCGAAACGUAAAUUUGUUCAUUGGAAGAUUAGCAAACAAUAGCGAAUGCUUGCACUGCCAUGACCCUCCAAGGAAUAUUCCAUGAUAUGGUGAAACUCCAUGGUUUCAAGAAAAAAAAAGGUUCAACAAUUACUAAUGAAUGGAUUAGAGACAUGGGGAGUAGCCCCAAUAGUGCAAAAGCUUGUGAGAAAGAGGAGGUACAGAGUAAAAUGGAUAGCUUGGGCUACUCCAUAUCUUAGCGAGCUUGGCCACAAACAAAAUGCAAAAUUGGGUUUAAAUCUUAUUCUCAUAACUUGUCAUGCUAAAGCCUAAGCCUAGUGAAAGCUGAGCUUGGUGAGCACGAUUGAGGGAAAAAUGAAAGAAAAAAAACCGUUAGUUGGGAGUGACCAAAGCGAGAUCUCACUCUUGAAUGUUGAGCAAGGUUCAUUGUCACUGGUUAGAUUCGAGGUGGCUGAACCCCUAAGUUCUCGCUCCCAGGUUAGGGAGGCAUGGACAACCUCGAUGAAGGUCGUUGUCCAUGGAUGAGUGCUCGAAAAUGAUGAACAGUGCAUCCUCAAUAAUGAACAGUAAUCGUGAUAAUAGUGCUUCGAAUUUUUUCGUUUUUGUGUAAAUUUUUUUAUUGGGCCACUUGCAUGGAACCACAUCAGUGCCAAGUCGGAGCCAUGCCAAAUUUCAAUGGCAAUAUUUUAAUGGAAUCCUAACAAAAGGGUAAAUAUGUUACUUGGGUAUCAGUUUGGGAUAAAAAAAAAUUGAGGAAACGUGCCACUGUGGGCAUAAUUUAGUGUUUUUGGUGGUUUUUCUUUGACACGGAAAAGAAGAUGGGGGGCCAUACUAACAUGGAAAAGAAGACUUGCUAAUGCUUUAGUGUGCCUUUGAGCUGUCGGCAAGAAAUCAUUCAUUAUUACUCCUACCUGUUUUGCCAGUUGUCGUAAAAAAAAAAAUUCAUUAUUACUCCUAUCUAUUUUGCCCUUUCUUUUCUUGUACUACAAGAUGUUUAUUUUCAUAAUUAAUUUGGAGAAGGGAUGGUGAGAUAAAUGGUCUUUGAACUUUGGUUUAAUGUGUAAUUUGGUCAUUGAACUUUCAAUUCAUUGGUCCCUAAACUUUUGAAAAAUGUUCAACUCGAAAUGUUAAACUUUUGUUGUUCCCUAGUUGAACAUUUUUCAAAAGUUUAGGGAUCACAUUAAACAAAUUAAAUGUUUAGAUAUUCCGUUGCACUUUGAGCAAAGUUUAGGGACCACAUUGAACAUUGAACCAAAGUUCAUGGAUCAUUUGUAUCAUUUUUUCUUUGGAGGAAAAAAACUGCUAAAGACUCUAAACUAUGCCCAUUGUAAUACAUUUACCCAAAUUCUUUUUGUGACACUAAAUAUUUCAUCACACAUAUUUACUCGACAUUAGAGUUAUGUUAAAUAUCACAGUUAAAACCUAAUAACUCAAGCACCACAUUUGAAAAAAUUAUAAUAAAAAGGGCUAGUGCCAAAAAAAAUUACAAAUUAGUAUAUUUGUCAAAUUUACCCCAAAUAUAAAAAACCGCGAAUUGAUACUCCUGUGACUAGUUUUUUUUUUUUAAUUUUUAUUAUUAAAUGACAGUUGAUGGGUAUACUAAUUUAUAGUUUUAUCCUUCUUUUGUUACAUAUGUGUACUAAUGGAAAUUAAUAGAGCAUAUAUUUGUUAUAAAUGUAUUAAUUUGAAGUUUUUGAUGGAAAUUUGUCACAAAUGUACUUUUGGGAUUGUUUUGUGGUACUAUCCUAGAUAAAACUAAUAAUUAAACAAACUCAAAGCACUAUUGGUUGUGGUUACUGUUCAUCAUCUUCAAGUCUUUGUCCAUCGCAAUCCAAAGUUGCCUAGACAUCCGACUGUGUUCAAUUCAUUUUUUUUUUCUUUUGUUGUAAAUAAUCUUCUUCCUUGUUCCUUUAGUGUUCAUCUUUAUAGGCAAACUUCUCCAUUUCUCUUCUACUUUGUUUGUUUUGUCAAAAUUGUUCCUCUACUUUCUCCACUUAAAUACUAGCAAAAUCAAUCCAUGGACACUUUGCCACUUUGAUCAUUGCUUCUUCAAACCUUGGAAAUCUAUCCAUCGGAAGAUUAGCAAAUAACAGCCAAUGCUUGCAUUGUCGUGACUUUCCAAGGCAUAUUUCAUAAUACAGCAAAAACCCAUUGAUUCAAGAAAAAAAGGGAAAAAGGUUCAAUAGCUACUGAUGAAAUUGAUUAAGGACAUGGGGAGUAGCCCCAAUAGUGCAAAAGCUCAUGAGAAAGAGGAAGAACAAAGUAAUAUGGACAGCUCGGGCUACUCCAUAUCUCGGCAAGCUCGGUUGCAAACAAAACACAAAAUUAGGUUUAAAUCUUUCUCACAACUCGUCAUUGCUAAAGUUUGAGCCUAGUGAAAUUUGAGCUUGGUGAGCACAAUUAAAGGAAAAAUGAAAGAAAAACAAACCAUUAGAUGGGAGUGACCAAAGCGAGAUCUUACUCUUGAAUGUUGAGUAAGGCUCAUUGUCACCGGUUAGAUUCAAGGUGGCCAAGACACUUAGUCUUUUAUCCUAGGUUGGGGAAACAUGAACAAUCUCGAUCAAGGUCAUUGUCCAUAGAUGAACACUUGAAGAUGAUGAACAAUGCAUCCAAAACAAUGAACAGUUAUUGUAGUAACAGUGCUUUGAAAUUUUUUCUUUUUUGUUUGAAUUUCUUAAUUGGGGCACUCAUGUGGAACCCUAUCAACACCAAGUGGAAGCCAUGCCAGAUUUCAAUGGUGAUUUUUAAGAGAAUCCUAGCGAAGGGUAAAUUUAUCACUUAGAUAUUAGUUUGAGAUUUUUUGGUAUCGCAAAAAAAUUGAGGAAAUGUGUCAAUAUGGGCAUAAUUGGUGUUUUGGAUUGCUUUUUCUUUAGCAUGGGACAAGAAAUGAAGGGCGCAUCCUAAGGUGAAAAAGAAGACCCACUAAUGAUUUAGCGUACCUUUAAGCUAUCAGCAAGAAAUCAUUCAUUAUUGCUCCAACCUGUCUCACUUUUUCUUUUCUCGAACUGCUAGAUGUUUCCUUUCAUAAUUUAAUUUGGAGAAGGGAUAAUGAUAUAAUUAGUCUUUGAACUUUGACCUAAUAUGUAACGUGGUCCUUAGAUUUUUAAUUUAUUGGUCCCUAAACUUUUAAAAAAUGUUCAACGUGAAUUGUUAAACUUUUUUGGUCUCUAGUUAAAUGUUUUUUAAAAGUUUAUAGAUCACAUUGAACAAAUUAAAAGUUUAAGAACCACAUUACACUUUAGGCUAAAGUUCAAGGACUAUUUGUAUUAUUUUUUUCUUUGAAGAAAAAAUCAUUAAAAAAGCCUAAACUAUACUUAUUGUGAUACAUUGUUGAUGCCUAAUUUUUAAUUGAUGCGAUGAUAAAGGUAGAACGGGGCCAAUUUUUCGAACAAAAAGUAUUAGUUUUCAUUUUCUUUCUUUUAUAAUGUCAUUUUUAGAUAAUUUCUUAGUCAUUUCCAAUAAAAUUUGAAAAGUUAAAUGGUUGACUUUUUGGUUGACUUUUGAUCAAACUUUUGACCAAAAGUCAAACCCUUGGGUCAAAAGUUGACCUUUUGCACUAAAUGAUUCCUUUUAGUUCCAAUUUGACUUUAGCAUAUAAAAUUUUGCAAAAAUUGAAUAAGAAUCUUGCUUUUUGAAUUUUUCGAUUUUAGGUUCAAAAUCAACCAAAAAUAAAAUUACUUUUAUUUUAGUUAUAAGUAGUCUUAAUUCCUUUUACAGCAUUUGAUCUAUAGGUCGUUACCCAUUCACUCAUUCAAUCGAUUUUGAGAUUAGAAGUGCCAAAAUAUGAAUUCUCUUUUUUAGCCCUGGUUAGGGGGUUUGCAAGCGGACACUUCCAUUCCACUCAUUUUUGUGGAAUAAUUCGAAUCGAGGGUAAAUUUUGGGAAAUUCACUUAGGAACUUCUCAUUUUGAGGAAUUAAGCUCACUUGAACAUUAGAAAAUCAAGCUAAUGAGUUCUGAUUGAUGAAAUUCAAGUUGACCCAUUCGAGACUAAGGUUGAAUUUCAGAAAUUGAGGUUCAAUUUCAUCAUUAGACCCCAAUUCAAUUUUAGCGUAAAAGUCACGCCAUUAAUUUAAGUCAAUUUGAAUGCAAUAGGUCAUCCUAGGUAUGGUCAAUUAAUUCAUUGGUGCCAUGCAAUUUUAAUUGAAUUCAAUUUCAAUUAAUUUGCAUUUUAGGGCAAGAUAUUACAUAAAAUUGUCCAAUUUAGCCUAGGAAGUCCAAUUAUAUGUACCUAUGGCACGGGUCCAAUAGUUUCCAUGUUAAUUAGGUAAUUAGGCUAAUAGAAAGUUACAAGAUUGCAUUUACAUAGUUUAAUAGGCAUAAUUUCUUCAAAAUUGGACCGUUUCUCUUCGAGUUAAACCGUUUUUCCUUUAAAAUAAGCAAGAUUUCCUUUCAGGGACUAAAUUGCAUAAAAUGUAUAAGGGAAAGGACUAAACUACCCAAGAAGUGGCUAAAAUAAACAACUUUUAAUAAUAUUUUGAAUUUUUUUAUGUUUUAUUUUUCCAUCUCUUUUGACGAUGCUUGUAAAGAUUGUGCACACCAAGGAGGAUCAAGGGUCUCCUAGGAGCAUUGUUAGCAUUAACAGAGGUUUACUGGUGGCGGCUGCUUCGAAUUACAAUAGAUUAGGCAUCCUUGUUGGUAUAGUUGAGGGCGUACCAUACGGCCUUAAACUAACUAAAUACCUUGCCAGGCUUGCCUUCCCUUCCCUUCCGUGGAGACUGGAUCAGACAGCACUCACGUGAUUAUCUCUUUAUCCACCAUCGUUGUCCGCCCGGACAUCAUCCAUUUUUCAGCUCUGCUUAUUCAGACGCUCUGUUCGAAGACAAGGGAACAUGGUGGGUCGUAUUCUAAGCUCAAAAGGGCUCGGUAACCAGAAACUGUUCUGGUGGAGGAAGAACCUGAUUUUUAUUCCUUCUGCUUUACAGUCCUUAUGGAUUCCACCUCUCAAGUUGAUUGCAAAAAAAGAAAGAAAGAAGAAGUUCCUUUUCCACUUUUGAAAAAGGGGUUGCAUUCGAUCGAUGGUGAUUAUCAUAUUAAAAGGGAAAAGUACCCCUGAUCGGAAACGUUGCAUUGACGAAAUUUUUUAUUUUUCGAACUUGGACAUGUGUCAAUAGAUGAUAUGUCCAGUUGUCGCAUUUUUAAUAAUAAUAAGCCCACACUAGCCAUUAUUAAUUAUUAUUAAUUUAUUCUCGUUAUAUAAGAUUUGGAAGCGAGUAAGCUAUUUCUGCAAGCUAAAUUAUUCAACAAUUUCGGGUACUCCAAGUCUCCGACCUACCAAGCUCUUAAAUUCCAACUAAAUUUUGUGCAAUUAAUUUCUCCAGACUCACCCAAGAAUAUUAAACAUUUCUACGAACUCCAACCCUGUCAAGCCUUUGCAUUUCAACUAAGCUUUUCCAAUUUGUCAUUUAGUUUGUCUAGACAGGAUGAUUCUAAAAGGUCUAGCCUUUCCAUAGAAUCCCACCAGUGAAACUUGACAUUUUCAAGAACUUUUUGCCUAUCAAGACCUUAAAUUUAGAUUAAAAUUUUUGAUAAUUUGUCCAAUCUAAUUUCUCCAGACGCAAUGAUUUUGAAGGGUCCAGCCUUAUAAUGAAAAUGCACCUAGUGAAACGUAAAUCUUCCAAAAACUCCACUCAACCAAUGCCUCGAAUUUCAUUUAGGUUUUUGCAAUCUGUGGCAUCUAAUUUCUUGAGAAGCUCCAAUGUGUAAGGUCCAACAUCUCAAAUGAAGUAUACCAUAUAUGUCCAACCUUUCCAAGAAGUCCAACCUAUCAUGGUCUUGAAUUUCAACUAAGUUCUUGCAAUUGAACUAGAAACAGCAUAACGUUACAAGGGCCACAUGCAUCUUAUUAAGGAAUCUGUAUAGUUUUUGCUUUUGUAUUUAAUGGGUGGUUAGUAGCAACAUCUGAAUAGUUCAUUAUUUAUUUUCUCUGUCCAUCUUCAAAGAUAUUGGUGCACGUCGUUGCAAAAAUAGAACUCGGCCCUCCAUCACUGCUCCCGAAAUAACAGUUUUGCACAAUCUUACUCGCCAAAGAGAAAAGUAUCAGAUAAAAUAUUUCGAUGCACGACACUGAAUUCUAAGUUCUUGGUCUUAUGUUGGUAUAAAUAGAUGACACUUAAGACUUCAAUAGAAUUUUCUUCAACCUUAGAAAUUUGCGAAUUCUAUUUCCUCAAACUUUACAGAAACUAUUUCCUUAUCUGUGUAUUCUCUAUAAUCACUUAAUUAAUCUAUUAGAUUACUAUGAUUUUAAAAAGUACUUUUAUUUCAAAACUUUUGAGUUUACUUCAAUUUUAAUAUAUUCUAUGUUAGGAUACAAUAUGUGUGAGUUCUAUUAGAAAAAUCUCAUAUCGGAGAGUUGGUAUGGGAUAGAGCUGUUUAAUAUAUCUGAAUUGAUCAAUAACUUAUUAACUUAAGUUUUUGAGUCAAAAUAGAUCCAACUGAAUGCCUUAACAUGUUCGGACUUGUACUCCCUAUUGGCAAUCUCUCAAAAUAAAAUGUAUCGAACUUCUACUAUGCACUCAUUGCACCAGGGUCAUGGUGGUUAUCCUAGUUGGCCCAUGGCUUAAGCUGUUAUCGGGCUUCUACUGUGCGUUUGUUGCAUCAGAGUCAAUGAUGGUUAUUCUAGUUAGCCCAUGGCUUAAGCUUAUAUUGGGCUUUUACAGCUUGGUCCCAACGUUUCUUAACAGGAGUAGUAGUUAAAGUUUUCAUACGAGGGCAGUCUCAUCUCUUCAACGAAAAAGCGAGCUUGGAGCAAUUUUAGCUGCGGGAAUAGUUGUUUACCUGGUCUCAACUAUUAAGUAAAGUGGGUCUCUUUUCUUAGGGGCCACCAUAGAAAAUCUGGCUGAGUGUUGAUUUAAAGAGGUCAUUGUCUCAUAAUGGCAAUUCUCCAUCGGUUUGAUUUGUCUAAUCGAACUAACCGGCAAUCAUAAUUGCUCUGAUAAUUUAAACUUGUCAAGCUAAGAUAUAAUUUGGUAAUUCAUUGACCGGAAAAAGUAAUCAUGCACUUAUAGUUGUUGCCUUCUUGCGGAAGUAACUCCAAUGCUCAAGAGAACCCAACACAAAAUAUAUAUUAUUUUUUUUUGGUCGAAAUACGGAAACUAUAUUCAAGAGGUAAACCCAGUACAACCCAACGCAAUAUGGACAUCUCCUCCUGCAACAUCUAAUUUGAUAAACUUGUCGGGCAAGUUACAAAAAUCUGCUUAUGAAGUCUUUGGACAGAAACUCUGAAUUGAUUUGUUAAACUUAUUCCUCAAAUUUACGAUAUGGACAUUCUCCAACCAUAUCUAGAUUAACUUGAAAUAUAUUAAAGAUUGAGACAAUUUCGGAGAAAACUGAGAUUUCAUGACAUUUUAGUACAUCACCGGGAGUUUAUGCUUUCCUUGACAAAGUUGAAAGUUCAAGACAUUUUCAAACGAGAGUGGUAAGUUCAAGAUUCUUUAAAAUAUUAAGCUAAAGAGAUGAAAAUCCACUUUUUUUUCAAAAGUAAUUUUUGAAAAAGAAAAUGAGGAUUGUUCCGAUUUUCGUGGUUGUAUAAUGUCCAUUUCAUAAACAUAUUUAUUCCCUUGCUAAAUGUUAAAAUCAUAAUUUUGGUCGGAUAACUUAAUAUACCAAUUUCAGUAUACUUGUUGCCAUUACUCGUAAAUAACCUCGACUAAUUCGUCAAACUUCAGAUGAUGGAGAGCGCGUGCUUGCUGAGUAAAAAGUCCACAUAUUUUUUAACAGAUCUACAAAAAAAAUCGAUCGGCAAUUGCUUCGGAUGAUCAAAUCACUUCGGGCACAAACUUUAAAUUGAACUGAAACCACAUACUAGCAUAGCAUUAACCACGAAAUUAGAGUACCAAACGCACCACAUAAAACACACGUACCGUAAAAGAUCACACCUGGACACACCAUGCAAAACCAAACGACAGACGUAUUAGAAUACAGAAGCAACACCCACAAGUUUCUCCCUUUUUACUCGGUAGCUAGCUAGGUGACUACUUCUUACGGAGGUCGCUCCGCAGGUCGCGGAAGUAGGUUUUGGGGUCCUCCUCGAAGGGAGCCCGGAGUAUGUGCAUGUCCCUCCCGGGGGCUUUCAUGGUCUUUUCUUCUUCGCCGGGCUCGGAUGAGUCACUGCGCAGGUUGCGGAAGUAGGCAGCGGGGUCCUCCUCAAAGGGACGCCGGGGUAUGCGCAUGUCCCUCCCGGGAGCUUUCAUGGUCUUUUCUUCUUCGCUGGGCAUGGACGAGUGGCUCCGCAGGUCACGGAAGUAGGUAGCAGGGUCCUCCUCGAAGGUACGCCGGAGUAUGCGCAUGUCCCUCCCGGGAGCUUUCAUGGUCUUUUCUUCUUCGGCAGGCUUGGACGAUUCGGCCAUCAGGCUCACCACGCCUGCACCCAAGGCCAAGAUCGCCGCGCCGGCGAUCGCUCCUGCGGCGAGGGCAGAUGAGCUGCUAGACUCCUUGGCCAAGGCAGUGUCACCUGACUCCUUGUUCUCACCAUCUCCCUCUCCACCUUUGCUCUCGCUUGCGCCCAUAUGGAGCUUGGACUUGGGAUAUGCCUUCGGAUAUGGUAAAAGUUUCGAGGUUUCUCUAGCGUCAAAGUGUGAGUGUUCUAUGCUUUGUUCUUAGGGUGAGAGGUGAGUCUUUGGGGGUUACUUUAUAGCGGCUUUGGUGGCUUUGGAGCUUGGACAUGGGAGUAAUUUCAUGACUUAAUGCUGUGCAUUGGAAAACGUCGACCUUGACCUUGACCUUAACCUUCACUUGAAGCAAUUCGUUUCUCGAUGCUCACUCACUCUUUCUGCGUCGAAGACGGAUGAGGCUUGCACUGCUUAAAUUUCCGAUAACAACUUUAGUAGAAAAAACAAAGGAAAAGUGGACGUGGGGGACCCAUCCUAAUGUGGAAAAGAAGACCGCCCAUGCUUUAGCAUGCCUUUGAGCAGUCAUCGCUCCUGCCUAUUUCGCCCCUUCUUUUCCCGUACUGCAAGAUGUUUCUUUUCAUUUAUUUAAUUUGAAAAAGGGAUAAUGACAUAAAUGAUUUCUAAGUAUUGACUCAAUAUAUAAUGUGAUCUCUAAACUUUUAAUUUAUUUAAUGUGGCCAAUGAAUUUCUAAUUUGUUCGAGGUAAUAUCUGAACUUUUGAUAAAUGUUCAAUUUAGUCUUUAGAUUAUUAUAUCCCUAGAUUCAACUAGUCCCCAAAUUAUCUAAUCCAAGGACUAGAUUGAACAUUUACCAAAAAAUUAUGAACCACAUUGAACAAAUUAAAAGUUCAAAAAUUACAUUGCACUUUAGGUUAAAGUUUAGGGAACACAUUAAACAUUGAAUCAAAGUUCAGAGAUCAUUUGUGUCAUUUUCUCUUUACUACUAAAAACACUAAACUAUACAUUCUAUAAUACAUUUAUCCCAAACUUUUUUUUUUGUAACACUAAAAACCUUCAAUUUAUGCCCAAUUGAUAGUUAUCCCAUUUUGACGUGUAGCACCGAUGUGGUGCCACUUCAGCACCACAUUUGAAAAAUUUUAAAAUAAAAAGGGUUAAUAGCACGGAAAAUCCAAAAUUGGUACACUUAUGACAAAUUUAUCUUAAACUAAUUUUUUAACCACAAAAAAUCAUAAACUGAUACACUUGUAAUAAAUUUAUCAUUUGUUAAUUUCUAUUAAUUUACCUUUAAGUUGCCGAGUUGGAUGGCGUAUAAUAGUUGACGAAUGUACAAGUUUGUGAUUUUACCCUUCAUUUGUCAUAUGUGUAUUAGUUUGUGGAUUUUUUUUUUUUCAUAAUAUUAAUUCAAUUUAACGGAAAUUAUCGAAACGUAAAUUUGUUCGUUGGAAGAUUAGCAAACAAUAGUGAAUGCUUACACUGCCAUGACUCUCCAAGGCAUAUUCCAUGAUAUGGUGAAAUUCCAUGGAUUCAAGAAAAAAAAGGUUCAACAAUUACUAAUGAAAUGGAUUAAAGACGUGGGGAGUAGCCCCAAUAGUGCAAAAGCUCGUGAGAAAGAGGAAGAACAUAGUAAAAUGGAUAGCUUGGGCUACUCCAUAUCUCAACAAGCUCGGCCACAAACAAAAUGCAAAAUUGGGUUUAAAUUUUAUUCUCAUAACUCGUCAUGCUAAAGCCUGAGCCUAGUGAAAGCAGAGCUUGGUGAGCACGAUUGAGGGAAAAAUGAAAGAAAAAAAACCAUUAGUUGGGAGUGACCAAAGCGAGAUCUCACUCUUGAAUGUUGAGCAAGGUUCAUUGUCACCGGUUAGAUUCGAGGUGGCUGAGCCCCUAAGUUCUCGCUCCUAGGUCAGGGAGGCAUGGACAACCUCGAUGAAGGUCGUUGUCCGUGGAUGAGUGCUCGAAAUUGGUGAACAGUGCAUCCUAAAUAAUGAAAAGUAAUCGCGAUAAUAGUGCUUCAAAUUUUUUCGUUUUUGUUUAAAUUUUUUUAAUGGGCCGCUUGCAUGGAACCACAUCAGUGCCAAGUCGGAGCCACGCCAAAUUUCAAUGGCAAUAUUUUAAUGGAAUCCUAACAAAAGGGUAAAUAUGUUACUUGGGUAUUGGUUUGGGAUAAAAAAAAAAUUGAGGAAACGUGCCAUUGUGGGCAUAAUUUAGUGUUUUUGGUGGUUUUUCUUUAACAAGGAAAAGAAGAUGGGGGGCCAUACUAACAUGGAAAAGAAGACUUGCUAAUGCUUUAGUGUGCCUUUGAGCUGUCGGCAAGAAAUCAUUCAUUAUUACUCCUACCUGUUUUGCCAGUUGUCGAAAAAAAAAAAAUUCAUUAUUGCUCCUAUAUAUUUUGCCCUUUCUUUUCUUGUACUACAAGAUGCUUAUUUUCAUAAUUUAAUUUGGAGAAGGGAUGGUGAGAUAAAUGGUCUAUGAACUUUGGUUUAAUGUGUAAUUUAGUCCUUGAACUUUCAAUUCAUUGGUCCCUACACUUUUGAAAAAUGUUCAACUCGAAAUGUUAAACUUUUGUUGUUCCCUAGUUGAACAUUUUUCAAAAGUUUAGGGAUCACAUUGAACAAAUUAAAUGUUUAGAUAUUGCAUUGCACUUUGGGCAAAGUUUAGGGACCACAUUGAACAUUGAACCAAAGUUCAUGGAUCAUUUGUGUCAUUUUUUCUUUGGAGGAAAAAAACUGCUAAAGACUCUAAACUAUGCCCACCGUAAUACAUUUACCCCAAUUCUUUUCGUGACACUAAAUAUUUCAUCACGCAUAUUUACUCGGCAUUAGGGUUAUGUUAAAUAUCACAGUAAAACCUAAUAACUCAAGCACCGCAUUCAAAAAAAUUAUAAUAAAAAGGGCUAGUGCCAAAAAAAAUUACAAAUUAGUAUAUUUGUCAAAUUUACCCCAAAUAUAAAAAACCUCGAAUUGAUACUCCUGUGACUAGUUUUUGUUAAUUUUUAUUAUUACUAAUUUAUAGUUUUAUCCUUCUUUUGUCACAUAUGUGUACUAGUUUGUGGUUUUUUGUAGUAAUAAUUCAAUUUAAUGGAAAUUAAUAGAGCAUAUAUUUGUUAUAAAUGUACUAAUUUGAAGUUUUUGGUGGAAAUUUGUCACAAAUGUACUUUUGGGAUUGUUUUGUGGUACUAACCUAGAUAAAACUAAUAAUUAAACAAACUCGAAGCACUGUUGGUCGUGGUUACUGUUCAUCAUCUUCAAGCCUUCGUCCAUCGCUAUCUAAAGUUGCCUGGACAUCCGACUGUGUUCAAUUCAUUUUUUUUCUUUUGUUGUAAAUAAUCUUCUUCCUUGUUCCUUUAGUUAGUGUUCAUCUUUAUAGGUAAACUUCUCCAUUUCUCUUCUAUUUUUUUUUUGUUUUGUCAAAAAUUUUCCUCUACUUUCUCCACUUAAAUACUGGCAAAAUCAAUCCAUGGACACUUUGCCACUUUGAUCACUGCUUAUUCAAACCUUGGAAAUCUAUCCAUCGGAAGAUUAGCAAAUAACAACUGAUGCUUGCACUGUCGUGACUCUCCAAGGCAUAUUUUAUAAUACGGCAAAACUCCAUGGAUUCAAGAAAAAAAGGGAAAAGGUUCAAUAGCUACUGAUGAAAUGGAUUAAGGACAUGGGGAGUAGCCCCAGUAGUGCAAAAGCUCAUGAGAAAGAGGAAGAACAAAGUAAUAUGGACAGCUCGGGCUACUCCAUAUCUCGGCAAGCUCGGUUGCAAACAAAACGCAAAAUUAGGUUUAAAUCUUUCUCACAACUCGUCAUGCUAAAGUUUGAGCCUAGUGAAAGUUGAGCUUGGUGAGCACAAUUAAAGGAAAAAUGAAAGAAAAACAAACCAUUAGAUGGGAGUGACCAAAGCGAGAUCUUACUCUCGAAUGUUGAGUAAGGCUCAUUGUCACCGAUUAGAUUCAAGGUGGCCAAGACACUUAGUCUUUUAUCCUAGGUUAGGGAAACAUGAACAAACUUGAUCAAGGUCAUUGUCCAUAGAUGAACACUUGAAGAUGAUGAACAGUGCAUCCAAAACAAUAAACAGUUAUUGCAGUAAUAGUGCUUUGAAAUUUUUUCUUUUUUGUUUGAAUUUCUUAAAUGGGGCACUCAUGUGGAACCAUAUCAACACCAAGUGGAAGCCAUGCCAGAUUUCAAUGGUGAUUUUUAAGAGAAUCCUAACGAAGGGUAAAUGUAUCACUUAGAAAUUAGUUUGAGAUUUUUUGGUAUCACAAAAAAAUUGAGGAAACGUGUCACUGUGGGCAUAAUUUGGUGUUUUGGGUUGCUUUUUCUUUAGCAUGGGAAAAGAAAUGAAGGGCGCAUCCUAAGGUGGAAAAGAAGACCCACUAAUGAUUUAGCGUACCUUUAAGCUAUCGGCAAGAAAUCAUUCAUUAUUGCUCCAACCUGUCUCGCUUUUUCUUUUCUGGUACUGCUAGAUGUUUCCUUUCAAAAUUUAAUUUGGAGAAGGGAUAAUGAUAUAAAUAGUCUUUGAACUUUGACCUAAUAUGUAAUGUAGUCCAUAUAUUUUUAAUUUAUUGGUCCCUAAACUUUUAAAAAAUGUUCAACGUGAAUUGUUAAACUUUUUUGGUCUCUAGUUGAAUGUUUUUUAAAAGUUUAGAGAUCACAUUGAACAAAUUAAAAGUUUAAGGACCACAUUACACUUUAGGCUAAAGUUUAGGGACUAUUUGUAUAAUUUUUUCUUUGAAGAAAAAAUCAUUAAAAACCCUAAACUAUACUUAUUGUGAUACAUUGUUGAUGCCUAAUUUUUAGUUGAUGCGUUGAUAAAGGUAGAACGGGGCCAAUUUUUUGAACAAAAAGUAUUAGUUUUCAUUUUCUUUCUUUUAUAAUGUCAUUUUUAGAUAAUUUCCUAGUCAUUUCCAAUAAAAAUUUGAAAAGUUAAAUGGUUGACUUUUGGGUUGACUUUUGAUCAAACUUUUGACCAAAAGUCAAACCCUUGGGUCAAAAGUUCCAAAAGUCAAACCCUUGGGUCAAAAGUUGACCUUUUGCACUAAAUGAUUCCUUUUAGUUCCAAUUUGACUUUAGCAUAUAAAAUUUUGCAAAAAUUGAAUAAGAAUCUUGUUUUUGAAUUUUUCGAUUUUAGGUUCAAAAUUAACCAAAAAGAAAAUUACUUUUAUUUUAGUUAUAAGUAGUCUUAGUUCCUUUUACAACAUUUGAUCUAGAGGUCGUUACCCAUUCACUCAUUCAAUCGAUUUUGAGAUUAGACGUGCCAAAAUAUGAAUUCUCUUUUUUAGCCCUGAUUAUGGGGUUUAAACUAGUUCAACGUGAUUUGCAAGCGGACACUUCCAUUCCACUCAUUUUUGUGGAAUAAGUCCGAAUUGAGGGUAAAUUUUGGGAAAUUCACUGGAACUUCUCAUUUUGAGGAAUUUAGCACUUGAACAUUAAAAAAUCAAGCUAAUGAGUUCCGAUUGAUGAAAUUCAAGUUGACCAAUUCGAGACUAAGGUUUAAUUUCAGAAAUUGAGGUUCAAUUUCAUCAUUAGACCCUGAUUCAAUUUUAGCAUAAAAGUCAUGCCAUUAACUUAAGUCAAUUUGAAUGCAAUAAGUCAUCCUAGGUAUGGUCAAUUAAUUCAUUGGUGCCAUGCAAUUUUAAUUGAAUUCAAUUUCAAUUAAUUUGCAUUUUUGGGCAAGAUAUUACAUAAAAUUGUCCAAUUUAGCCUAGGAAGUCCAAUUAUAUGUACCCAUGGCACGGGUCCAAUAGUUUCCAUGUUAAUUAGGUAAUUAGGCUAAUAAAAAGUUACAAGAUUGCAUUUACAUAGUUUAAUUGGCAUAAUUUCUUCAAAAUUGGACCGUUUCUCUUCGAGUUAAACCGUUUUUCCUUUAAAUUAAGCAAGAUUUCCUUUCAGGGACUAAAUUGCAUUAAAUGUAGAAGGGAAAGGACUAAAUCGCCCAAGAAGCGGCUAAAUCGACUGAACCGGUUUGAACUGAUUCGACUGGCUGCCGGUGGAGGAGGCUAGUUUGGCCUUCCUCUGGCUGAUUCUUGGUAGCCGAUGACACCCCAUGAUGGCCUACUAUGCAUACUUUCAUCCGUGCCUUCCAAUUUUUCAGAUUUUGCAAAAAUGCCCCUAGGUCUUAUGAAAUUACGAAAAUACCCAUAAUUAGGCCUUUAUUGCAAAAUUGAUCCGAACAAGUGAUUUCGGCUGAUCACCACUAUCCAAAUAGUCACAUGCUUAAAUCAAGUUUGCUUAAUGAGUAAGGAAGUUUGUUGGAAUCAAUCCUUAGCCAUCAGAUUGAAUCAACGGUUAGGAUUUGAUCUUGAGGGGGGGGGGUAUUUAACUCAUUUUCCCUCCAAAUUUUUGGAAGAGAGCCUCAUAAUCUAUAGAUUUCUCUCUUUAAACAAAAUUAUUCCUCAAAGAUCUCUCUCCUCUCUCUCUCUUCUCGUGUGGCAUCGCCUCACGACCCUCCUCCUCUCACCGCGCCUUCAACUACUCACCGAAGCCUCUGCUGGCUGAACACUAUCGUCCACUAGCUCCAUCAAUCCUCUUCUUCUCCUGCCGUAGUCACUCAGAGCCCCGACGACCACUAGAGCUUCCCGAUUAAUUUGAUUCACCGAUGGGGCCAAUCAUCGGCAUGUGACCCCAGUUGCCAGUUUCGCUGUUGGUUUCAACGACCAGCUCACUUCCCUUGGUGGCGCACCACCUCCGAUUAUCUUCCUUAACUUGUCCUUGACCUCCAGCGACCGUAGCUCCCCAUCUACACUGGUUUUGCCGUUGGUGUCAAAAUCGGAGCUUGAUCUUCAUCCAGUGCCAAACCAGUGCAAAUCCAGCGCAAUCUAGCUCUCCUUCGGCGAUUUUCAGGUUCUUCGGAAGUCCCUUGACAUCAUUAUGUGCCGUGGAGGCUUGAUUAUUGAUUGAUCGAGCUCAAAUCAAUCAAAACACACAAAAGGUAACUGUCUGUCCUUAAGCUUGAUGAAGUGAGGUUGUUCUAGACAACCGGGGCUAGAGCUCACCCUAGGAUUUUUGUAUCUACAAAAUAUGACGUAUUAGCAUGUUAGAAUGGCCAUAGGUUUGCCUUGAUUGAGCUUGGUUACAUUGAAAGAGUUUGAUUGUUUCAUUGUGCCUUGUUCUACAAAAAUCGUGUACCUCUUUGAUAGAUCUAAAACAUGCGGUGAUUUGAGCUUGUUAUUGUGGUUUUCUGUGUUUGAUAUCUUCAUGAUAUUUGUAGACGACUCGAGGAUCUUUCCAAUGACAUAAAGAAUGUCCUGAUUUGGUGUCGUUUACUACCUAAAAACUGCGUAGGAAUCGGUGCAUAUUUUUAGGAAUUUUAAUGUGUUUUGACCUAUUCUAUGUUUCACCGACCUUUACUUUUUAUUGAUUUUUUGCUAAUUUUUGUGAUUCGAGUUCUGAGUUGGUUUCAAAUUGCUUAGAACACACUUCUCUACAACAUAUAGUUUUUCCAAAAUUUCAGUAGCCAUGUCGGUAGGUAAAUUUGCAUUGAAACAUCCAUGCUGGUCUUUGUAAUCUGGAGUUUCGAACUGACCUUUGCCUAUUCCAUGAUUUUUUUUGAAAAUUAUGCGUUGCAAAUUAAAGGUUGUAUCCUCAUGAAGUUUGCUAAGAACAUCUAGGGCUACAACAUAUAAAAUUUUGAAAAAAAUAAUAAAGUCAUAUGAUAGGGUAAAUUGCCUAAAGAACGUGAGUUAUCGGUUCUAUUCUCCUGUGACCUAUACUGUUUGUCGAUUUUCUACUGAUUUUUUGAGUUUUAUUAGACUUAGAUUCUUUUGCGAGAAAUGAUCCAAAUUUAUGUUAUGCAUCCAUGAAUUUUUCCAGAAUUUUUUUGAUGACAUUGGGAUGGUGAACAAAUACUCGUGUUCCAUGAAAUUACUUCUGUGAUUUGGUCUGACAUGAGUUGCCGUGCAAUUGUCUUCAAUCGAGCUCUUAAGAGCAAAAUUAGUGCAUGAAUCCUUCUAGACAUGCUAGGAGACUUCAUAAGCUUCAAAAAUGACAUAUAAUUCAUGCCGAUCGGUGAUCCUUUGCUCUAUGAAUUUGCCUUGUGAAGUUGUUGCUAUGUUUAGUUCGAUUCUGCUAUGUUUGGGUUAGGGAGUGUUAGUUUACUUAGUGACAUUCAUGAAUUUGUAUGAUUUUCCUUGUAUUGAUCUAAGGUUAGAUGUUUUCAUCAAACUUAUUCAUUGCAUUUAGCCCUAUGUCAUGCUUAAAUGUCAUAAUUUUCAUGCAUCAUAGGUGGCUUAACUAGCUUCCUUUCAUGCAUCAUGUUCUGCCACGUUUUUUGCCGACUUGCACAUUUCUGCAAAUUUCAUCGUUUGAACAUGAAAUUGAUCUUAAUUGAGUUUGACGGCUCUUAGAAAUUCUUAGAGCACAUUCUAAGCUUUCCAAUGACUCCAAUUUUGUCCCCUUUGCAUGUUAUUUGAACCAGUUUUUAUUUUUGUGAGAUUUUUCUUGUAAUCUACCAUGUGAUGAAAUUCGAAUUGCUUGUUUGCUCAUUUUGAGUCUGAAUCUUUCCUAUUUUUGUAUGAUUGUUUUUUUUUUUUUUUGGGUGAGGAUUCUGAGGUUGGCUCUUCAAAGAAAGUUAUUCAUUACUUGUAUGGCUACAAUAUACUUAAAUUUCAUAAUUUUUAGACAUCAUUAGGGCAAAUUGCCAUUGAUAUUCUCUGAUAUCUUACUACUCUACACUGUUUCUGAUACAUUGCUCUCUGUUCUUGGAUUUUUUUAGAAAUUCAUGUGUAGAUUAUCUUAGAAAACUUCUUUCAUAAAAGUUGUUCCUUAUUGAAUCCUUAAUGUGCCAUGAUUUUUUUCAGGACCAAUGAUAAAUGAGUCAUACUUCAAUUGCUUGAAUCUUCUAUGCUCUGUUCUAGCAUGCUCUGUUUGUCCUUUAUGACUUGUCUCUGUUGUAGCAUUUUUAGGAAAUUAUGCAUGUUGAUUUGGUUUUUGAUGUCUUCACGAGUUUUGAUCCUCACAUUCGGAACUUCACAUAGAAUUUUUUUUCAAAAAAAUAAAAAGAUAGCUCGGUAAUUGCAUCGAGCCCCUCAAAAUUACUGGACAACUCGACAUUUCGCAUUCUUACUUGUUAUAGAAUUGCUUUUCAUCCAUAUGGUGCCCUAUUAUACAAAUUUCUUUAAUUAGAAUCCUCUUCUUGUUUGAACCAUAUUUAAAGCAUUUGCAAAGCCCGAUCAACUGUGCGUGGGAUGUGCUUUAGUUAGCCUUGAUAGUUAAAUGCGUUCCAUAGUUUAGAUGCACUUAUGUCUCGUCUUCAUCAAAAUUUUCUCGAACUCAUGUCUUAAUUGAUCCAAAAAUGAUUUUUGGGCAUCAUAUGGAUCUUUUUAAUGCUUUGGUUUUACUUGUCUGGUGCAUGUGGUUGUGUUUGGUGCUUGAUGAAUGAGUGAAGUGAUUUAAUAUCGUCUCACUAAUUUGUUUGAUUGAUUGAAAACCAAAGUCUAAAAGCCUCCAUGCAUGUUUACUUUCAAACUAUGCAUGUGAUUUUUAAAUAUAUGCAUAAGCAAGAUGCAUGUACCUGCGGAAUACUUUGGGUAACUUUUAGUACCCGAAUUAGGGGUUUGUUAGUAUUAGCCACAAUUUGUGAACAUAAACGUUGACUAAUUACUACAAACCAUUAAAAUGAUUGGAUAAAAGUCUUAGUGUAACUCAUUGCAUGAACAAUCAAAGGCCAACCCUGAGGCCAUUCUUGAUAAUCGUUGCUAAUUACUUUGUUUAAUGUUAUUGAUGUUAUACUUGCCACGAUCGAUUGUUAUUGCCAUGAAUUGCCUUUUCCAUUCUAAAAACUAGACUAACAUUAGAAUAAGUCCAAGAAAGCGGCUCUUGGAGAUGGCGAUUUUGAAGACGGUGAUGGUCAAUGUCCGUUCCAAUCUUUUCUAUGUAAAUGGCGAAUGGUCGAUGUCCCUUCUAACCAAUUUCCUUGUAAUAUUCAUUACCCGACAUAUGUCUUCUUAUAUGCGUUGUAUAAAUGCCUGGUGAGUUGCGAGUUCUUCCUUGCUUUCCUUUCCUUUAAUUCUGUUUUAGGAUUGCAUGCUAGAUUUACUGUUUUCCUUAAAUUGUCUUGGGUGUUUACUUAUCGCACUGUCCUUUAAAUUUCAAUUGUUUGCUUUCUUUUUUCUUUUUAAGUAGAGAUCGAAUGUCAUGAAGAUCACCUCAUUUAUAAAUUACAAGGAAAAGUAAAAAGACACGCAUGUACAUGUUAGGUAAUGUGACAAUUGUUAGGUACCGAAAGGACAUUAAUAUAAAUAUUGACAUAACCCGAGUCCGCAAGCCUUAGAUCUCUGAUUGCAUAGGUGUCCAAUGACCACUCUUAACUCUCGAUUGGGUACUUUAGUUGGACCCCAACAAUGGGGUUAGUGGCAACUCCUAAAAUGAUAUAUUAAGUUGUCUAAACAACUUAGAAACAAUAAACCCAUCAUGAGGGGUUCACAACCUUGAUUUGGCACACUCAAAGUGGUUGAGGUGAAGAGAUGAAGUGAUGCCAUCUUUAGCUUAUGUACAUUUGAGAGGACUAUCAUGAUUGUGAACCCUUAAACUCAUCUUUUUGAGAUUGAGUCAUGACUAAUCCUGCUGUCACGCGAGAUAUGAGUUUGGGAGAGCUUACGGCUGUGAUUAAGCGAACUCUGUGAUUGAUCCCAAAAAUGUGAGGGAAUUCUUAUAGUUGAGCAUCUCUAAACCUGUCGUCUCACUAUAAAACCCAAAAAACUAAGGCCAAGUCACGAUAUGCAUUUUACCCCAAUGUUUUUGGUGACACUAAAAAUCUCAAUACACAUAUUUACUCAGCAUUAGGGUUAUGUUAAAUAUCACUAUUAAAAAGGGUUAGUAUCAUGCAAAAUCAAAAUUGGUACAUCUGUCAAAUUUACCUCAAACUAAUAUUUUAAUCAUAAAAAACUCCAAACUAGUACAUUUUUGAUAAAUUUACCAUAUGUUAGUUUCUGUUAAUUUUUACCGUUAAAUUACUAAGUUGGAGGACACUUGACAAGUUGAUAAUUGUAGUAGUUUGUGGUUUUACCCUUCUUUUGUCACAUAUAUACCAGUUUGUGAUUCUUCGUAGUAUUAUUUCAAUUUAACGGAAACUAAUAGAAGGUAAAUUUGUCGCAAAUUUACUAAUUUUGGAUUUUUUGUGAUAAAAAAAUGUUUGAAAUAUAUUUUUCACAAAUGUACUAAUUUAUGAUUUUUCUGUGGUAUUAACCCAAAUAAAAAUAAUAAUUAAAUCAACCUGAAGUACUAUUCAUCAUCUUAAGUGCUUGUCCAUCGCUGCCCAAACCUGCCAAGACAUCCGACCAUGUAUCAUCUUUUUGUUUUUUUUUUAGUCUUUUGUUGUAAUCUUCUUUCUUGUUUCGGUACAUCUUUCUAGGUAAACUCUUCCAUUUCUCUUAUACUUUUUAUUUUUUUGUCAAACAUCUUUCCUCUACUUUCUUCAGUCAAAUAUUGGCAAAAUCAAUCCACAGACUUCACCACCUUGAUCACCGGCUUCUCCAAACCUCGGAAAUCUAUCCACCGGAAGAUUAGCAACGAUAGCCGAUGGUUGCAACACUAUGGCUCUCCAAGGCAUAUUCCAUUGAUAUUGUGAAAUUCCGUGGCUUUGAGAAAAAGAGGGAAAAUGUUCGACAACUAUUGAUAAAAUGGAUUAAAGACAUGGAGAGUAGCCCUAGUAAUGCAAAAGCUCAUGAAAAAGAGGAAUAAUGGAGUGACAUGGAUAGCUUGGCAACGCCAAAUCUCAGUAAGCUCAACUGCUAGCAAAACACAAAAUUGACUUUAAAUCUUAUUCUCACAACUCGUCAUGCUAAAGUUUGAGCCUAGUAAAAGGUUAGCUUGGUGAGCUGAUUGAGGGAAAAAGGAACCUUUAGAUGGACGUGACCAGAGCAAGAUCUCACUCUUGAACAUAGAGUAAGGCUCGUCGUCACCGGUUAGACUCAAGGUAGCCAAGCCCCCACAUCCUCGAUCCUAGGUUGGGGAAGUACGGACAACCUCGACCAAGGUCAUUGUCCAUGGAUGAUGAACAGUGCAUUAAAGACAGAAUAGUAAUCACGAUAACAAUGUUUCGAUUAUUUUUGCUUUCUAGUCUUAAUGCGUGGCGCCACAUCAACACUACGUUAGAUUUUAAUAGUGAUUUUUAACAAAGCCUUAAACUUAGGGUAAAUGUGUCACUCGGAUAUUAACUAGAGGUUUUUUAGUAUUUUUUUUUCAACAUCAAGUAAAUCCUAUACUAUUGUUACUAUCUUCACUUUUAUUUUUACUACAAUUCAUCAUCCCUUGAGUACCUUUUUUUUUUUUUCAUAUCACACAAAUGAUAAAAAAAAAGGAUUCUUAUCACAGAAAAUCCUAAAUUGAUACAUCCGCACAACAUUUUUUAUUCCAAAUUAAUUUUCGUGUAAAAAAAAUCCUUAAUUGUUAUAACCGUGCCACUUUUACCCCCAAAUUAAUUUUUAUGUUAUUAAAAAAAAUCCAGACUGGUACAAUCAUGCUACAUUUAAUCCAACUUUUUGUGUUACAAAAAAUUCAGAAUAGGAACUCUUAACUAUGUUAAAAGCUAAUGAUUUGAGCUUGAUAUCUUAGAAGUGAAGCAGAUAGGCAAGAAAACAAGGUAUUUAUGAGCUUGCUGAGAGUUUUAUGAAAUUGAAGUUAUCAGCGGAUUCCAUUUCAGAAUAAUUGGCUUAAAUACAUGUUGCUAAGGUUUAUUUUGGAAUAGACUACUUUUAUGGAUAUUGAGAUGACAAGAAACGAGUUAAUAAGGUCGAUAUUGAGAUUUUCAGUGAUACAAAAAUAAGUUUGAAGUAAAUUUGGUACUAACGUACCAAUUUUGAUUUUUUUGUAACAUGAAAAAUUAGUUUGGGAUAAAUGUUGUACCGGUACUAGUUUGAGAUUUUUUAUGACAUAGACAUUAAUUUGGGCUAAAUAGGAUAGGAGUGUACCGGUUUGUGAUUUUUGGUGUUAUUAUUUUGGAAAGAAUGAAAAUCGGACACAAACAUUUCAUGAAAAAAUAGUUCAAGUCUUAUCUCCUUUGAGAUGGGUGUCAAGUGUUAGCAAACAAGUAAUGUUCAUGGGAUCGUUCCUAGCAUAUGUUGAUAAAGCCGGAGUUGGGAGUGGUCAUUCUGGUACUUCUCACUUAACACUUCUCAUUAACUCCAUGUUUGUCACGUAGCUCAGUGUUACUUUUCGAUUAUUUCCAUGUCAUCCUGAACUAUUAUAUGUUAUUUUUCAAAUUUUAUUAAUAGAUAAAGUCAGUAUUUAAACAUCUUUGAAUGCUAAAACAAUCUAGAGUAAGAUUUGUCGAAAUAAUUAAUUUAAACUUAUAAAAAAUGAUUGUUCCCUCUCGAUUACAAUGAAACUUUUCUCUCUCGACAUGCAGAGUCGCCUGUCUAUCGCCAUGGUAGUUUUCAAACCCUAAUCCCCCAAAUUUACCGUUUUGUCUCCAUCCACCAUCUUCGGAUAAUCCCCUCUUCCAUACAUCUAGCAGGAUUUCCUUGUUUGGGUUGCUGCAUGUCUGUAUUCCGUCCACUUCGGCCACCUUCGGAACUCUGAGUUUGGUUCGUUCCCAUGCAGUACUUCUCCUUCCAUUGUUAAUUGUCCUCAUCGCAUAUGGCCUGCAUCAAUCUCUGGCUUAUUGGUUUUCUGAAUGGCAUCGGAUGACCAUGAGGAAUCUUCGCGUUUGUCAGCACUUUGCAACCAGUUAGGUCGUCUUACUACAGAACACACUAUAGAAGACUGGAAUGAUGCACCGUCCCCUGAAAAAAUAGCAGAAUGUCGUUUGACUUUAGUAGGACUCAUUCUAUCCAACCCUACUAUAAAUAUUCCAGCUCUCCACAGUACGUUAACGCGCGUCUGGCGCAUUGACCAGGUAGCAAUUUCACAGCCAGAGGCAGGUAUCUUUGUAUUUAAAUUCCAGACUCAAUCAGCAAAACAAAAAGUUAUUGAAGGGGGACCUUGGAAUUUCUCUGGCCACUUGGUUAUCCUUAAACCAUGGAUCCCUAAUACUCCUUUACAUUGCUAUGACUUUUCCAUAUGUGCAUUAUGGGUUCAUGUGGUUGGUUUACCUUUAGAAUGGUGUACGGAAUCCAUGAUCCGCAGAGCGGUGCAAUAGUUGGGUCGGGUAUUGGAAAUUAGAAUUGAUACAAAAGAUGGAAACUCAUCCAGACCUGUGAGAGCCAAAGUGGAACUAAACUUGCAGGAUUCUCUUAAGACAGGGAAGUUAAUUCGACUUGAGGGUAAGCACCUAUGGCUCGAUUUUCGGUAUGAACGACUGUCGCAUUUUUGCUACUCGUGUGGAAAGUUGGGUCAUUAUGUGACAUAUUGUGCGGAUAUACCCUUUGAUGAAGCAUUAUUAGCAGGUAAAGGUAACAUGGCCUAUGGCAACUGGCUUCGGGCUGAGGUUAGGGUGCAUAGCCCGUAUUGGCAAACUUUCUAUACGCCACAAAACAAUACUGAUCAACAGGAAGAAAACGUACCUGAAACUCCUCCCUCACAAAUUCCCCAAGUUCCUUUAUUGCCACGUCUAGUUACUAAUGAUCCUGUGCCAUCACAUGUCCCUCUAUUACUUCAACCAGCAAAUGUGGAUCCUAUGCACCAGAAUGAGGCUAUUGCUACAAGUAAUACCACCCAGCGAGUGGUCCCUAAUCAUCAGCUAGUUAUUCCUGCACCCGAUAAGUUAAAAGGUGUUCAGCAUCAGCCCAUGGAAGCAAAGGAGCACAAGAAGUUGAAGAAUGCGAGAUUGACCCCAAAACUAGGGGUGGCCAAGAAGUUAAAAAGGUACAACCCCUAUGAGUCCAAAAGUUUGACGAUACAAGAUCAUGAUGACACUAAUCUCAUGGAAACACCAGUUUAUAAGGCUGAGGAAAUCGGAGCGUGGGCUUCGGUGGCUGGCCCUCAACAGCCACCACCUCACAAAUGAAGAUGAUCUGCUGGAACUGUCAGGGAUUGGGCAACUCCCUGACAGUUCAAGCUUUAAGGGCCAUGUCGGCCAAGGAAAAGCCCACAAUAGUUUUUUUGUCGGGAACCAAGAACUAUGAAGUGAUGGUUAGAAGGAUUCAGCGUCGACUUCAUUUUCCUAAGUCAUAUAUCGUAGACCCUACAGGUCUGGCGGGAGGGAUGGUGCUAUUCUGGACUAAUCAGGUAACUAUAGAUGUGCUCCGGUCCACACCUAACUAUAUAGACAUGCUUUAUCAUGAAUUCCAAAAUGAUCGGACUAUGUGUAUAACUUGCAUUCAUGCUCCAUAUGUCUACCAUACUCGUCAACUUUUUUGGAAUGAACUUCGGGAGAUUAAUUUUGCUAACACAUUCCCUUGGUUAUGCGUUGGGGAUUUCAAUGACGUUCUUUAUCCAUGGGAAAAGUUUGGAAAAAAACAAGCAGAUCGACAUUGAAUGUUAUCUUUUCGGGCACUUAUCAAUGAUUGUUCUCUUAUGGAGUUACCAAGUAAAGGAUGUAAGUUUACCAGGAUGAACAAUCGCACCGGAAAUGAGCUGGUGAAGGAAUGUCUGGACAGGGCAAUGUGUUCGAUGGAUUGGAGACUUUUAUUUCCUGCUGCUGAAGUUUCUGUGCUUCUUGCUAUUGGGUCUGACUAUAGCCCAUUGAUAAUUAAUUCUUCAGCAUCCUACAAGACCCCGAAGAAAUCCUUUACUUUUGAAGUUUUAUGGAAUGAAGAUAAGGAAUGCAGUGAACUAAUUUCAACAGCAUGGAAUUUAGUCAGGGUAAAUGGAUCAGGCAUCAUCUCAAAGUUACAACAUACAUCUACAGUCCUAACAAGGUGGAGUCGCUCAAAAUUCUCCAGAGGUGAUCUUAAAAUAGCAUAUUUACAGCAACAACUUCGACAAAUUACCAAUCAGCAGCAUGCAUAUCAAAAUAGAUCUGAAGUUACUAAGCUCAAGGAGGAAAUUAGACAGAUUUGGCAGCAAGAAGAACAAUUCUGGGCUAUGCGAUCUAGAAUCCAAUGGUUAAGGUGGGGCGAUAAAAACACCAAAUUUUUUCAUGCGACAACUCUUCAAAGAAGGCAACGAAAUCGCAUUACUAUGCUCCAAGAUCAUAACAACCGGUGGAUUAGGGAUCCCUCUGCUUUACAGGUAAUGACUUGUAAAUUUUUUUUUGACAUAUAUACUACAGUGGGUCCUCGCAAUUACACUCCUAUCCUCCAACAAUGUCCAAGGGUUGUUACUACACAAAUGAACAAUGCUUUACUGGAAGAGGUGAGUCUAGAGGAGAUUCGUCAGGCUACUUUUCAACUGGGGUCUACUAAGGCACCAGGCCCUGAUGGUUUCAACAGGAUAUUCUAUCAAUCUCAUUGGGAGGUAAUCAAAGAUGAUCUGUUUCUUCUAGUUAAGAAGUUUUUCGAAACAAGCCAGAUGCCACCUAUCUUGAAUCGCACUAUUCUGGUUUUGAUUCCCAAGACGCCUCAUCCAGGAAAAAUAGAACACUAUAGACCAAUUAGCCUUUGUAAUUUCGCCUACAAAGUCAUUUCCAAGGUGCUAGCCAACCGCCUCAAACAUUGGUUACCUCAGUUGAUAUCUAUGGAACAAACUGCUUUUGUCAAUGGACAGAUCCAAGACAACAUCUCAAUCUUUCAAGAAGUUCUUCAUCAAUUUAAAACACGACAGCGGAAAACAAAAUUCAAUGCAAUUCUUAAGACUGAUAUGCAGAAGGCCUAUGACAGAAUUGAAUGGGAUUUUCUUAGGGACUACUUAAUUCAGGUGGGCUUCCAUCAUAUGUGGGUACAAUGGAUAUUACAAUGUGUCUCAACUACAUCCUAUAGUAUCAGAUUCAAUGGGGAGCUACUUCCUUAUAUUUUCCCUACUCGUGGUCUAAGACAAGGUAACCCUCUCUCACCAUAUAUCUUUAUCCUGGUGGCGAAUGUUUUGUCAAUAUUGAUCAGCCAAGCAGUUAAUAUGGGCCAACUAAAGGGUAUCAGAUUCAAUAGGUGGUGUCCCACCCUUUCCCAUUUAUUUUUUGCUGACGAUGCAAUCUUUUUCCUCGAUGGCAGCAUUCGUAAGUGUCAAAACCUGGCUAAUAUCUUAAAUCAGUACUGUCUAGCCACGGGCCAAGCAUUGAACCGCAACAAAUCAGGGCUUAUUUUUAGUCGGCAUUGCCCUAUGAGACUGCGGGAAAAUAUGUCUCUCGAACUAAGAAUUCCUGUAUCACUACGGGCUGGUAACUAUCUGGGUAUCCCUUCAGACUGGGGUCGCUCCAAAAAGGACAUGUUUUCGUGGAUCCUAGCACGUGUUCACUCAAAACUCGAAGGAUGGAAGGAAAAGCUCAUAUCAAAGGGGGGUAAAGAAACUCUUAUCAAGUCUGUCAUCCAGGCGAUUCCGCAUUAUGCUAUGUCUGUUUUUAGAUUGCCCUUAUCGUUGUGUAAAACUAUUGAGAAGAACAUUGCAAGGUUUUGGUGGAAAACUGAUAUGCACAGGGCAGGCAUUCAUUGGAAGAACUGGGAAACUCUUAAAAGUAGUAAGGUCAAGGCGGGCUAGGCUUUUGGGAUCUCAUAGAAUUUAAUAAAGCCAUGCUCGGCAAGCAAGCAUGGCGUGUACUCCAACAAUCUCAGGCUUUAUGGGUUCAACUUUUCAAAGGGCUAUAUUUUCACAACACAGAAUUUAAAUCAGCACCCAAAGGCAGUCGUCCAUCAUGGGUUUGGCAGAGUAUUCUUACAAGUCGAGAUGCUAUCCUACCAUAUACUAGAUGGUCAGUAGGCAAUGGGAGGAAAAUCUGUAUCCGUGAGGAUCUAUGGUUAAAAAGUGGAACCUUGUUUGGUCUUGCCAACAGAGAGGACCCGAAGUUAGUGGCUGACCUAAUAGAUGCUACUCACAAUACUUGGAAUGUACCUUUGCUACAUCGCAUUCUAGAUGAGCCAACUGUUAAAGAAAUUUUGACCAUACCAGUUAGACCUCUUUAUGUAGAAGACAAAUUGGUCUGGCCAGCUACAAAGGAUGGCAUGCACACAGUCAAGAGCAAUUAUCACAUUCUAACAGACAAAUCCAGCCUCAAUAACAACCAGACAACAUCAACCUCUCAUCGGAUACCUAUUACUCUCUGGCGCAAAAUCUGGUCUUUGAAAACUGCCCCCAAAGUCAAAACCUUUCUCUGGUCACUUUGUCAAAAUGCUGUAGCAUCCCGAGCAAACCUAUUCCGCCGAAGCAUUACUUCAGAUCCUUACUGUCAACUAUGCAAUCAGCAAAAUCCAGAAACAAUAGAACAUCUAAUACUAUUGUGCCCAUGGACUCGCCUUAUUUGGACUCAUCCAGCAAUCAACAUUGACAUUCAGCAUAAGCACACCCAUAGAUUUGAUGUUUGGCUUGCUGCAAAAUCAAUAUAAACAGCGAACUCACCUUCUUUAGAGCUUCUUGCAAAUGUCUGCUGGCACAUCUGGAAAAUGCGGAACAGCUACCUCUUCCGCAAUCAAUGGCUCCAUUCCUCCAUGGUAGUCGAAACAGCUUUGACGGAGACGAGGCUUCACCAGAUCACCUCUACCUCCCCUUCCUCUGGGCGGCAAUCUGUGCUCAACCUGAACCCCUAUCAGCUAUGGAGACCGCUUGAUUUGGGUACAUUAAAAUGUAACGUUGAUGCUUCAUAUCAACCAGAGAGCACAGAAGGGGCGAUGGCUGCGGUAUUUCGAGAUCAUCAGGGAAGACUUAUUGAGAUCUACACCAAACGUUUUCCCGUUGCUUCAGCACUGGUAGCGGAGUUCCACGCCCUCUCCUUCGCGAUCCAGCACUUGAUAGCACAAGGCUUACAGCAUGCUAGGGUUGUGAUCGAAUCGGACUGUAGAUCAGUGGUGGAUGCCAUCACAGGAAGGAGAUCUGCGCCAUGGGAGCUUCGUCCCCUGCUUGCGGAGGCUGCUGCACUGCUGCCGCUGUUCCCUAAUCUUAUGAUACAGUGGUGUCCUCGGGAAGCAAAUGGAGUUGCAGAUUGGGCUGCAAAGGCCCAGCGAGAUUCAACUUUGGCCCACAAUUGGAAUAUCUUCCCCCCUCUUAUUUUGAUGAAUCUGCUAUAUGUCAAUGCCCUUCUGGCCGGUUGUAAAUUGACGUUUCUAUGAAUAUAUGCUUUCCUUUGACCAAAAAAAAAAAAAUUAAGAAUAAAUUAGAGAUGUGUGUUUUCUGUGUCUUAAAAUGGUAAGAGCACAUAGAAACAUGGGAUUGAUGCAAAAAGAUAUUCAGAACUCCAAGAUGUGGUGCUGACUAUGAUGGACGCGACACGAGGUUUGUUAAUAUAGUAUUUGUAUUGUUGUUUCUUGGUUAUUAUCUACCUCUUCUCUCUUUGUACUUCAGAUUGAGAGAUUUAGGAAAUAUCUUGAAAUACAAUUAAAAAAAUAUGUCAUCUUGAAUAAAAUUAAUGAUGAAAAAAUUAUCCUAAUCAAUUUAAUUCACUUAAGCCUAAGAUAAUAAGAUUACUAAUACAAUUUAAAUUACAAAAGGUAUCUAAAUUAGUUUGUUGAAGUAUCAUGUGGCUUGACAAUGAAUCUUAUAUGCUUUAUCUAUAUGUAUAGCGUUGAAAAUACUUCAAUAUUUAUUUAUAAUUAGCUCAUCCCAUUUUGCAUUUCUUCCUCCUUUCGUUGGUGUUGGAAAUACUUCAAUUCACAUGUUUUGCGAGUUUUGCACUUUUAUGUCUCGUCUUACCAAUUAAGUUAAACUUUUGACUAGAACAAUUGUGGGCAAAUAUGAUUCGACCGCUAUGAAAUUUGACGCUUUAGCCAGAAAAUCUUUCUUCGCCACAUGUCAUUAGACACGAAAUUUUGUGUCGCCGAAGCUACUACAACCCACAUAACUUUCGUUGGAUAUGGUCGGCCCUUUAGCCACGAAAUAAAAUCUGUCGUUAUUGAGUGUCUAUUUUACGCCUUUUGCCAUGAAAUAUCCCGUGGUGAAAAGUAUACAUUUCUGCACAAAAUUACUCGAUUUUGUUUCUAAAGGUGUAUUGCCACAUGCCUUUAGCCGUGACAUUUCCGCCACCAAGAUUUCCGUGGCCGCGAAUUUCCAGGCUUCUAGCCCCGAAAUUCUGCCGCGGUGAAAGGUCGAUUUUCUUGUAGCAAGGAUUCACCGCUAACAAUGGAAAAAAGUGGAUAAGGCCGUACGUGAAGAACACAUUUUUUAUACUGAUGGUGGAAAAGACAUGGAUGUACAGAAAACAUGUCACUGAUCAUACAUAUGAUGGAAGGUACAUACAAGAUACUGGAAAAACAUUUAUUCGCAUUAAAAUGGCUCAUUAGAAAGCAACGUGAACGAUAAAUAUAAUUCCGAAAGACAUCUCAUAUAAAUCUACAUAUUAUAUAUUAUACAUAUACGAACAAUCUUUACAAAGAAAGGGCAGACCCCAACAGUUUAAAGCUACACUUAGGUAACCUCAUAUGGUACUAAAAUCUGCGGGGGCUGGUGGCUGGAGGAGGAGUGAGGAAAGGAAUGUAGGGAUGCUCAGCAUUGGGGGCAAGGUGGUUGGCAUGGUCGGCAUGUUUGGAAGUGGCGGCAGAGCAGUGGUGGGCAAUGUUGGCUGGGUGGUGGCUAGUGUCGGCAAUGUGGGCUGAGGUAGGGUCGUAGGGAUGGCAGGCAAUGUGCGCAUGGACAGCAAUGGUGGCAGCGAAGUGGGUAUUGAUACUGUUGGUAAUGUGAGAAGGGAUGGUAUGGAUGGCAUAGUUGUUAAUAUCGGUAGUGUUAGUGUUGUAGGAAGGGGCCGUAUGGAUAGUCUAGUUGUUUGCCACAAAUGACAAGUUCUGAAACUUAUAUUGGCAGUUGAGAGAACUAUAGCGAUGAAGAGAACAAAGCUCUUUGGGUGAUCAGCCAUCUUGGUAACUGCAGCAUGGAUGUUAUGUUGUGAAAGACUCAAGGACUUGAAAUCAAUGAGCUAAGAGGCAUGGAUUGCUACUUGCGUGAGUAAAUGGAGGACAGAGAUGGGAGUUUAUAUAGCUAGAGAUAGUUCAAAUAGAAUAUUGGGUUGUAAUAAUAAGUUGGUGACUGGCUUUUGGGUAUGGUUAGGAAAAAGAACAAAGAACAGAACAUCUCUUUAAUUGGUUCUUUGUUAGCUCACCUCCUUAGCUCAAAUCUCCUGAAAGAUGGCCAAUGCUGGCUCGGGGCAUCAUCACGGCUCCUUAUUGUUAGCAGACUCGGAUUAGUACAACUGCUCACCAUGAAGGACCGUGCUAGGCUAAGGCCCAAGAGGGUCAGUCCGUGUUGUGUCUAGGCCAGCACAGCUUAAUAUUCUUAGGGUAGGGGUUCGUUAAUGUACAUGUUAAGAUAAGCAAAUGCUAAAGUUCAUGUCCUUUGCAAACUGUGGCCUUUCAAAACCAUAGAUUUUAAAGGUAAUGUGUGAGUGUAAUGAGUCGAAUUCAGGUCUUGAGUCGGAAAGAGAAUUUCAAAGUGUAAUUGUCGGUGUGGUAUAAAACCGAUAAGUUAUGAUCUUGAUAAAGGACAAAGGAUAUAUAACGCAAAGUACUGCAUGAAAAUUAAAGAAGAAAAGAAAAGGAUGUCAUAUAAUUUGGAGUAGAAUUAAGUAUGUUAGUUUUUUCUUUUUUCCUUUUUUUUUUGGCGAGAGAAGAAUGCUAGUUCACUAUUGUCUUAAAUGCAAUAUCUCUGAGUACCAGAAACUUAUUCUUUUAGGUUAAGUUUAAUAUCGACAAAAAGAAAAGGGUUAAGUUUAAAUUAUCAAAAAUAGAGGAAAUAAUGGACUUCUAUCAAAUUGAGUGAAUACAAGUAUUAUUCCCUAAAGAUUUCUUGGUCAAUGUUUUUUUCUCAUUUUUUUAAUUCAAUACUUUAAAGUGUACUACUAUGUAAUCUUCAGGGAAAUUUUCCAAUAAUAGCCUAAAAUGGGAUUAAUUUCUCAAAAGAUGAUGUAAAGUGAACCUUUAUUUCAAAUAAAUGCCUCAAGUAACCAAGUUAAUCUCAAAUAAGGAUAUGAGCUCGCCAACCAGUCAAUCACUCGAUAAGCAUUUGAUUUUUCUAGUGGCUGGCAAAGGGUAUUUUUGUCCAAAGCAAAACCUAAAGAUUAAAAGAGAGAGAGAGAGAGGAAGGGACAAAUGUAUUGGAAACCCUAAAACUUAUCAUGAAAGUGUAAUUAAGUUUUAAAACUUUCAAAAAGUGCAAGUAAAUCCUAAAACUUAUUGAAUAGUCCAAUUAAAUCCUCCCAUUUAUGACAUUUUUUUGAAAUUUUUAAAAUUUGAUUGCACUUUUGUAAUAAUUUUUAGGAGUUGAUUGUACUUUUUGAAAGUUUUAAAACUUGAUUGCAUUUCAUGAAAAUAUUAUGACUUGAUUAUAUUUUUUGAAAGUUUGAAGACUCAAUUGCACUUUUAUGAUAAGUUUUAAGAUUUUUAGAGCAUUUAUUUUUGUAGUAGAAUUGCAAAAGAAAAAAAAGGGGAAAAAAAAAAAGAAUCUCCUGAAACACCACCUUCAUGAACAUAGCACCCCAACCAUGUUGAAGAUCCGACAGCUUCAAGUCACUCCAAUCAGACUGCCAUUAAAUUUUUUUCCUUUCGUCAAUAUUUUUUCUUCUCAAUCCCGUCCCAUCAACCAUUACCAGUGAUUCUUUCUUCACUUGAGUCCUCACUCCUACCUAUAUGCUUCGCAGCAUGUCUCCGGAUUUCCAUAGGUCCUUCGUCUACACCAUUCUUGGCAAUAUUCAUAUGUUUUGUUCAUGUCCUGAUUGCUGUUGUUCGGUGGUUUUUUAUGAUGCAGGAAGGUGGCGACGAUCUAGUGGGUGAGGUCAGGAACUAGAGCUGCGCUAUCAAUUUGGCGUUCAACGAUGAUGGGAAUGACUACGAUGAUGAGGACGAUGGUGCAGAGAGGCUUGGCAUCAAGCUCCACCACCUGAGAUUUGCAAUUGAACUCCAUCAUGACAUUGAGCAUCAGCCGACCCCAGGCAAGGGUUGACAGUACUCGUCGGCGAAGUUGGAAUCGUGUUGGCACACACAUAUUUGAUCAUCUACAAUCUCCUUUUCUCCUUUGGUUUGAUGGGGUGUGAUUGAGAAGCUGUUGAAUCUUCGACAUGGUUGGGGGUGCCGUGUUCAUGUUGGUGGUUCAAGCGAUUUUUUUUGGCUUUUCUAGUUUUCUAUUAUUUAAUAUUUUUCAAUUUUUUUUGAACUAAAAUGCCCUGCUAGCUUAGGCGAAAGUGGCCCUUGACGAGGUCCAGCGGGUAGCCAAUGGAAGGAAAAAGGGAAAAAAGAAGAAGGAAAAAGUAAAGAAAAGAAAUAAAAAAAUUCAGAAAAAAAAUAUUAUUAAACAUUAUCCACGUUAGUGUUAGUUAUGCCACGUGGGAUGAUAAAUGUUCAUGUCGGUUAUUUCUAAUUAAAAUUGACCGAAUUGACUCAAUUAGUAAUAUAUAUAUAUAUAUAUAUAUAUAUAUAUAUAUAUAUUUAUAACUAAAUUAGUAAAAAUUUAAUAAAUUUAAGACUAUUUGGAUAAUUUUCCCAUUCUUUGACAAUGCUUGCAAAGAUUAUGUACACAAAGGAGGAUCAAGGAUCUCCGUCCUCCUAGGAACAUCGUUAACAUUAAUAAAUGUUUACUGCCAACGGCAGCUUCGGAUUUCAGAAGGUCAGACGUCCCAGUUGACAUGGCUGAGGCCAUAAUGGCCUUAAAGCUAGCUAAAGACCUUGCCUUACCUUCCGUGGAGACUGAAUCAGACUGCACUCACGUGAUGUCUCUUUAUCCACCAGCGCUGUCCGCCAAGACAUCAUCCAUUUCAGGUCUGCUUGUUCAGACGCUCCUCUGUUCGAAGACAAGGGAAUAUAGUGGAUCGUAUUCUAGCUCAAAAGGGCAGACAUUCGACCAGAAACUGUGCGGGUGGAGGAAGGACCUGAUUAUCUUCUUCUGCUUUUACAGUCUUUACGGAUUCCACCUCUCGAGUUGAUUAAAAUAAAAAAAGUUCUUUUCCCACUUAAAAAAAGGGGUGCCUUCGAUUGAUGGUGAUUAUCAUAUUGAAAAAGGGAAAGUACCCUUGAUCAAAAACGUUGUAUUGACGAAAAAAAUGUGUUCAAACUUGGAGAUUUGUCAAUAGACGAUAUGUCCAGGUGUCACAUUAGCCAUUAUUAAUUAUCACCAUAUUGUUCUUAUUCUAUUAGUUUUGGGAGUGAGUAAGCGAUUUCUGCAAGCUGAAUUAUUCAAAAAAUUUCAGGUACUCCAACCUACCAAGGUCUUGAAUUCCAACUACGUUUAUGUAAUUAAUUUCUCCAGACUCAAUGGCUUUAAAAGGCCAAGCCUUUUCAAUAGAACUACACCCAGGAGUACAAACAUUUCUAAGGACUCCCACCCUGUCAAGCCUUUUCAUUUCGAGUUUCAACUAAGCUUUUACAAAUCAUCGCAUUUAAUUUCUUUAGAUAGGAUGAUUAUGAGAGGUCUAGCCUUUCCAUAGAAUUGCACCCAGUGAAAAUUAGCAUUUGCAAGAAGUGUUAUCAACGCCUCACAUUUAGACUAAGUUUUCAUAACUUGUUCAAUCUAGUUUCUCCCAACGCAAUGAUUUUGAAAGGUCCAGCCCUCUAAUGAAAGUACACCCUGUGAAGAGUAAAUCAUCCAAGAACUCUGAUCGACCAAAGUCUCGGAUUUCAUUUAGGUUUUUGCAGUCUUUGGCAUCUAAUUUCUUGAGAAGCUCCGAUUGUGGAAGGUCUAAUAUCUCAAAGGAAGUGCACGCAUAUAUGUCCAACCUUUUCAAGAAGUCCAAGCUAUCAAAGUCUUGAAUUUCAAUUAAGUUCCUACAAUUUUGAGUGUCUAGUUCCUUUAAACGCUCCGAUUUUAAGAGGUCCAAUCUUUCCAUGGACUUGCACCCGUAGCAUUCAACUCUUCCAAAUUUCCAACCUAUCAAGAUCUUGAAUUUCGAUGAGUUUUUUUGCAACUUGUAGCUCGUAAUUUCUUCAUAUGCCCCCAACUUGGACAGUCUAGCCUUUCACUGGAAGCGCAAUGACAUAUUUCCAACUGUUCCAAUAUCUCUAGCCUUUCAAGUCCUUAAUAUCUGUCUUGCGUCUGUCUUUCGAUUUCCAUGGAGGCUUCAGGGUUUCUGAGACCUGCGAACCAUGAAUGGGCAUCAGUUCAAAGCAUUCUCAGAUAUAAGUUUCAACAUGGCACAUUGCGAAAUAGUAAGGUAUGCCAGUGUUGAGGGAAGCGCUGAGAUGCAUUGGAGAGAAGCGCAGCAAUCAAGGAAGACUUUCUUUUGACGAAUUAGGUGAGAAAGUCGAGGAAGGUCAAGUUGGUAGGAAGCUCCGACGGCAACUGAAGCAACCGCACAAAUCAGGGUGUUGGAGAGACAAAAGAAUGCGUAUGCUCUCUGGUAAGCUAGAAAUUUCUGUACGAAGAAAAUCCAUUCGUCUUGAGCGAAGACAAGUUCCCAAUAUCCCCGGUAACUUUCCCACACUCCCAACAGCAUUCGGUAGCUCUUUUUAUCUUGCUAUCACUAAUAUCAAGCAUUUGAAAUUCCGCAAAUUCCCUAUGCAUUCAGGCAAUUCCUUAAUUGAGGUGCUGGAUAAGUUCAGUUUAGUCAACAAUUCCGAGUCCCACUUAAUUCGGGGGUCUCCCUCGAACGACUGUUUUCUAAUGAGAUGAGCCGCAACUUCACAAGGGACCCAAUGCUUAUAGGAAGUCACAUAAGCUUAGAGUAAUAUGUCAAAUCAAGGGUCGACAAAUUCGUCAAACAGGCAAUCGAUUCCGUAAGUCGAACGAUGUAUAAUCAUUGGCAUUAAGUGUCUUUAGCUUCUCCGAGAGCCGAUAGACAAAGGAAAUUCUGGUAUUCAAAUUCCAUCUAGAAGAAGUUUCUUCAAAUUUCGUAGUUUAGUCACUUCCACCGGUAGUUCUCCGAAACUCCCACAUCACAUCAAGUGCAAGCAAAUGAGGGCCUUCGCUCCUGAAGUGUCGUUUUGAUCCAGUUGACAACAAUUUUUAAGGAUCAGACUACUUUUAAAAGCCAAUAGAAGAAACUACCUUUUAAACGUUGGCUAAGGUUGAGAGCUUUUUGAUUAUUUGCUUGGCUCAAAAGUUCGGGUAAAUGACAGAUGGCAUUACUCAUUCCACAAACAUUAAGGAGUAUUCUUUGGGCUCGUCUAUUAUUUCCGUUGGAACUUUAGGUAUUGUUCACCGAAGAAUCGACAAAGGAUGUGAAGAAUCUUUAGCUGAUUCUCGGACCAAAAACACAAUUGACAAAAAAAUUAGAAGUACCGAAAGUAGAGAGAAUCCUAGCCAUGUAAAAAGAAAAUGCAAUGUAAAAAUAAAUUGAAAAUGAAAUUGAACAAUCGGUGUUUAUUAAUUGAUUGGCCGUAACUUGCAUAAACUACAAUGGAAGUAUUUAUAUUUGCUACUGCUAGAUAACAACGGUUACAAAGAACUUAAAUACAUCAUAUGCAACUCCUAUAAAUCAGCAUCUUGUAUUUACAUAAGGGUCAUAUGACUCCACUACUUGACAAUUGCUUUUUCUCCACGUUCCAUGCCCGACAUAAUCAGUUACUUCCAAAGCUCUUCCUUCCACCAAUUGACGGUUGCAAUAAACCACGUUUCUCGACCCUUAUCAUUGGUGGAGAUUCAUGAUUCCAUCAUCUGACGGUUAUGUUGGUUUCACUUCUUCAUAGCUAGGCCCCAUAUUGUCGGCUUCAUUACUUAGAUAACUACUCUGUGUCUAGCUCAUUGUAAAUUGCGUUAGUCUGUCGACUAGGUCAAGCAUCAGUUACCGAUACUCAUGCUCUAGGACUCGGUUAUUUCCAUUUGACUUCCUGUCGGCUAAAACUAGUUAUCUUGUCGAUUAAAUGAGUUUACCAAUUAAUCGCCCUCAAUCCUUAGCAAACUCUACUUCUGCUGUAAUCUGCUCGAUCUCCCUCAGUCCGAGUCGAUGGUCAAAGACUAGGGCAUUUUUGGUGUCAACGAAUAUAUCAUCGAUUCAUAACAUAUAAACAUGGAUUCAUGGUCAGCAGAAUUCAAGUUACAAUUUUGUUGAAAGAUCCAAAAAUUCUCGAUGGUUUUGAUUUUGCAUUGUUUCCUAAUUUGUUCACGACCACACCAUUGGGAGAAGAGUCAGUUCUUGCUUUUGGUGUUGACCGAUACUGAUUACCUUAAUCAACUAAUGCAGACAGCUUUGUGAGAUAAAUUACGUGAAACACAAUAGCAGGACAAAUUUUGUGCCAAGAGGUAGUGUACGCAUACAGGCCAAUUUUCCUCUUGUAAGUUGGCCUCACCUAGCCACUGGGAAGACUUGAGCCUCGCCAGGGCUAGGAGAGGCUUGCCCUUGCCAAUGACCAGCAGGGGUGAGCUUCACUAGAGGCCAAUGAGUCGACCUUGCCAACCCUCAUCUCUAGCUGGUCUCUGAGGCUUGGCGACUAGAUAGAGGAGGAAGAAUGGAAGAAAAGAAAAAGGAGAAAGGAAAAAAAAAGGAAAAUUAAAAUAAUAAAUAAAUAAUUUAAAAAUAUUAUUAAAAAUCAUUAACAAUAACGUUGGUUGUGUCAUGUAAGACGGCUAGCAUCCAUAAAAUUGAUUGAAUGGAUUUAAUUGGCAAAAUAUGAAAAAAAAAAAAAGUUUAGGAUCCAAUUGGCACAAUUAAAUGGUUUAUGACUGAAUUGACAAAAAUACAAGAUUUAAAACAAGUUUGUCUGUUUGGAUUUGACAAAGGGAGAGCAUUGUGGGGGUUCUCAAGUAAGGGUGUUUGUGGUCGGGGCAGCCACGCUGUGAUGCACGGAGUGCAACGUCAACAUUGUGAGGCUACGAUUACUUCAUAUUGUACCAAUAAUCUCUUUUCAUCCAUUAACGAUUUAAAUAUUUUGUAACAAGGGAAUGGUGCAAAGUUCAUUAAAUAUGAUAUUUUUGCAUACACACAAAGCGGAUGCAGUUUUGCUAAUAGUUUUAUAAAGGAAACUUAUUAUUGGAUUAUGUAUGACUCCACUCAAAAGUAUUGACCAGAAAUAAAAAAUAAAAUAAAAAGGAGAGGAACAAAAAUAACAAUUUUUUUUCCUAAUGAAAGGAGAAAUAAUAUUUUUAUUUACUAAGAAACCUUUAAGGAAUAAUACUUAUAUCACUCAAUCUGAUGGUAUAAGCUCGGUUAUCUCUCUCUCUCUCUCUCUCUCUCUCUAAAUAAUAUAUACUCGAACUUAAACUAUAAACAUAAGGCUUUUGGUACGAGGUGAUAUUGCAUUCUAGACAAUAAUCAAUUAUUCUUCUCUUGCCAAAAAAAAAAAGAAAAAAAGAAAAAAAGGAACUACCUUUCUUAAUUUUGCUCCGUAUUCUAGGACAUCGUUUUCUUUUCUUCAUUUAUUUCUACUACAAUACUUCAUAUCACAAAUUCUUUGUUCAUUACGAAGACCGUAAACUAUCAAUUUUUAUACUACACCAGCAAUUGCACAUCAAAAUUCUCUUUCCCCUUCAAAAUCCGAAUUUGAUUCAUCGUACUCAUGCGAUAUCUUUAUAAGUCAUUAGUUUUGAAUGGCCUAAGUUUGCAAAUGACCUGAAAUUCAGCAUUAUGUAUAUCAACAAACCUCUUCUCGAACAAUGGUAGCCGGGCCGUGCUAGGUGGAACCUAUUAGUUAAGUAGUACCGACACUAACACGUGACACGCGCGACGAUAUGACACGACACGCCAACAAACAAAGAAUUCUGACAUAUUGGGACACAUUGUAUAUAUAAUAAAUUAUCAUUUUUAUGAUAAUUUCAAUCAAAUUAAUUUGAAUCAAAUUCAUAAAUAAAUAAAUAAAUAAAUAAGCCUAUAAUGAAUAUACACUUCAAACAUUAAUUCACCAUUUAUUAACAUCAUUCAUUGUUUCAAUUUAACAAAUUCAACUCUAUUUCAAUAAUUUAUAAAACUUGGAGAAAAAACAAGCAAUCUAUAUUCUGGACUCCAUGUUAGAUUUGUUGGAAAAGGAGAAAAAAAAGGAACUUAAGGGGUGGAUUGUAUAUCACGGGAAGUGAGAGUCAAAAAAGAAGAGAAGACUAGGUUUUUCUUCUUUCUCCCAUUAUUAUUUUUAUUAUUGUGUUUUAUUUUUUCACUUAUAUAUUUUGACCUCUCAUUUAUUGAAUUUUUAAAAUUGACUUCAAUAUCGGAAUCGCGUGUCGGAAACUCGUAUGUUAAAAUUUCAACUCGAGUGUUGGAGAGUCUUGAGAAAGUUGACCAAAGUUUAGAUUUUCCAACACAUGUUGACCAAGUGUUGAAGAGUGUCUAAGAGUUUCGGAGAGUGUCGAACACGUGUCGAAGUGUCCGACAUGACACGAAGGCUCUUGGAGAGUAUCGGUGCUUCAUAGCCUAUUAGUAAUAGGUAGUUGUGUUGAUGCCUGGACUUGCCCGCGUCCAACCUUUUAUUCUUUUUAAUCUUUUUCAGAGGUGAUGAAUUUUCAUUGGAACAAAAGUGGAGAUAAUCACGGCAGUACAAGAGACGUAAAUGACUGACUUUUAAUAAAUUAAACUAUGAAAAGAAAUUGCUCAUAGUACGGGAGAAGUAGGAGGAAAAUAGGGAGAGCAAUAAUUGACGAGUCUGUUUAUUGUGCAUUUGGUAACUUUUUUUUUUCUCAAGAAUAAUUUCUAUUUAAAAAUAUUUUUUUUCAAUUUCUAUUCUCUGAACUUUUGAGUAAAAGAAUGUAUUUAGGACAUGUAUGACAAAAUUUAUGGAACAUAAUUCAAUUUCUAAUUUCUUAAUUUUUAUUCCCUAAGCGAGUUUCUAAGUAAAUAAAUGCAUUUUGAUAACAACUCAAAAUUUUUAUUUUUGAAAUAGAAAUUUGUUUGAUAACAAAAUAAAAAUUUUAUUUCUAGGAGGGGCAGCGUUUGACGUCUAGCGGCAGGCAUCUGGUGACCGGUGUCAAGCAAGCAGCGUUUGGUGGCGAGCGGCAGGCGGCCAGUGUUUGGCAGCGAGCUGGUGGCGUUCGGGCCGACGGUGGGUGUUUGGCGUCCCACGGGCAAUGUGUAAUGACGAGAGUAAACGAUGAGAAGAGUUUUCAUUUCUCACUUUUUGUUUAGAAAUAAAAAAGCUAGAAAUUUUAGUUUCUAAUUUCUGCUUUAACUCUAUUUCUAGAAUAGAAAUUUAUUUCAGAAAUAGAAAAAUGAAAUUAUAUUACCAAAUGGAUUUUUGUUCUAAACUUGUUUUGAGGAACAAAAAAACAAAGAAAUAGAGAAACAAAGAUUUUAUCACGCGUGCUCUUAGUAAUUAUAUAAAAUUUCUAUUCUUGGAAUAGAAAAAGAACAUAAACGCGUUGGGUACUGCCCUAAAAAUUUCUAUUCCCAAUUCAUUUAAUUAGAAAAAUGUUAGUGAAGACUUAGCAAUUCAUGUCUGAAUAAAAUUGAACUUUUCUAAGGAUUUAAUUGAUCAAGAUAUUCUAAGAUGGUCUUUGAAAAUUCAACAUAAUAGUUGAGUGAAAAAAUGGAUGGUUGGAAAUGACAACAAAAAGUCCCACUAAUUUAUAACUCACAAUGUUAGGAGGUUAAUAGUAAAUUUUUGGACAUUACAAUAAACAGGUGCAGACUUUUCUAGCUCUUUUAGCUACAAGAAGAAGAGUAAUGUUAUUUGGUGGAAUGGACAAUGACAGAACAAUUGAGGAUGGAGGCAAUCUUUGGUGUGCUUAUUUGCCCAAAUCAUUAAACCUUCAAAUAAAUGAUAUCAGAAAUCCAUGGAGCACAACCUUAUUUGACUGCUAUAAACACAAAACAAAUGGUAAUACAAAAGACUUAUUUAGAGCUAUCUAAUUUUCUAUUAAAAUAGAAUUGCAGAUGAUCUUAGGAUAUCUCCAAUAGAAUCUUAAGGGAAGAAAACCAGAGUUGGCAAUCUUUCGUGACCUAAGCAUUGUCUCUAAAAGAAAAAAAGGCAUUUAAAAACCAUAUAGUAAAUUUUUAAAAGCUUAUUCAAUUUUGAAUCCAGUUUUCAUCAAAAGAUUUUCACAUUUUUUAUGCUAAACCAAUUCAAACUAGAAUUAACAAUAAAAUCUAGUAAAACUAUUCAAAAUCUAAUUUCUAAUUUUUUUCCUAAAUUUCUGAAUUUGUAUUUUUAUUUCAAAAAAUGGAGACUCAGAUUGGAUAAGGAGAUUGGACAUUGUGUCAAUUGUAUAAAGAUGAGCAUUAGGUUAUGUUGAGUUUGUUUUUCUAAAAUGGCAUUAUUUCUCUUUUUGUCCUCACGCACAAAGAAGUAAGUUUUUUCUAACUCUUGUUUCUAUUUUAAAUCUGUUCCCUUGCCAAUGACUGUUGUUGAUUUGUUUUUGGAAACAAAAGAACAGAAAAAAUAGAGAAAUAAAAUGGUUACCAAACAGGGUUUUAGCCAUUAUAUUUUUGUCCAUGACGUAAUCUUUUGAUUAAUAUAUCGCCGAUGACAUGCACACUAAGCCAUUGGUGGGUCGUCUCUUCCAUAUCAGUUAGACCCAUCUUAUUUUUUCUUUGUUCUUUUGCUUUGGAGUGAAUAUCACAAAUAAGGAGUCCAAGCCUCACACGUCUUCCAAAAAGACGGAGAGAGCAUUAAGAGCACGAAUGAUAACUAUUUUGGCAAGAAAUUGAUUUAUGAAACAAAAUAGAUUUUUAUAAUUUUAUUUCUAAAUGAGUUUAUGAGCAAAAAUACACAUUUGAUAACGAUACAAAAAUUAUGUUUUUGAAAUAGAAAUUCGUUUGAUAACGAUACAAAACUUCUCUCUCCCAAUCAAUGGCGGAUAGAGUGGGGGGCAGCACAACUACCAAUGGUAGUCGGCGAAUGGUAGUGGAUGGGGGGCAAUGGCCGAUGGGCGGUUGACUAAUAGCGAUGGCGAAUGACAAGAAGAAUAUUUUUCAUUUCUGUUCUAGAAAUAAAUAAAUAGAAAUAUUUUACUUUUCAUUUCUGUUUCAAAUCUAUUUCUAGACAAAAAAUUUGUUCCAUAAAUAGAAAAAUAAAAUUGCAUUAUCAAAUGGAUUUCUGUAAUUUUAGUUGCAAAAAUAGUUGUUUACCUAGUCUUAACUAUUAAGUAAAACGGGUCUUUUUAUUUAGCCACCAUAGAAAAUCUAGCGAGUGUUGAUUAGAAGAGAUCAUUGUCUCAGUACAAUUUUUUCUUUAUCGGUUUGAUUAGUCUAAUCGAACCGGUUGGCAACCAUAGCUGCACCAAUAAUUUAAACUUGUCAAGCUAAAGUAUAACUUAGUAAUUCAUUGAGGGGCAACCAUGGGCUUGUAGUCGUUGCCUUCGUGCGGAAGAAAUUCCAAUGCUCAAGAUAACCCAACGCGAUAUGGACAUCCUCUUGCAACAUCUAAUUUGGUAAACUUGUCGAGCUAGAUUUAAAAAAUCUGCGUAUAAAGUCUUUGAACAGAAACUAUGAAUCGACCUAUUGAACUUAUUCCUCAAAUCUACGAUGCGGACAUCCUCCCUCCAUAUCAAGAUUAACUUGAUAAAUAUUAAAGAUCAUGACAUUUUUCAGAAAACUAAGAUUUCAUGACAUUUUAGUACAUGAUCGAAAAUUUAUGCUUUUCAUGGUAAACUUACAAGUGGAAAGUUCAAGAUUCUCUAGAAUAUUAAGCUAAAGAGAUCCGGAAAAUCUACUUUUUUUCAAAAAUGAUUUCUUUUAAAAGAAAAUGAGGACUGUUCGGAUUUUCAUGGUUGUAUAAUGUCCAUUUUCAUAAAUAUAUAUUCCCUCGCUAAAUGUGAAAAUUACAAUUUUGGCCAUAAAACUUAAUAUUUCAAUUUCAGUAUACUUAUAACCAUUACUUGUAAAUAACACGGACUUAUUUGUCAAACUUCAAAUGAUGGAUAAAGCGCGUGCUUGCUGAGUAAAAAAAUCCACACACACACACACACACACACACACACACACACACACACACACACACAUAUAUAUAUAUAUAUAUAAUAUUUUAAAAGAACUGAAAAAAAAUAAAAAAAUUGAUCGGCAAUUGCUUCAGAUGACGAAAUAACUUCAGGCACAAACUUUAAAUUGAACUUAAAUUGAAAUUACAUACUAGCAUUAACAACGAGAAUUAGAGUACCAAACACACCACAUAAACACACGUGCUGUAAAAGGUCAUACCUGAGGACACCAUGCAAAACCAAACGACAGACAUUAGAAUACACAAGCAAGACCACAUAUUUCUACUUUUACUUGGUAGCUAGCUAGCAACUACUUCUUCCGGAGGUCGCUCCACAGGUCGCGGAAGUAGGUUUUGGGGUAUGCGCAUGUCCCUCCCGGGGGCUUUCAUGGUCUUUUCUUCUUCGCCAGGCUUGGACGAGUCGCUCUGCAAGUCGUGGAAGUUGGCAGCGGGGUCCUCCUUGAAGGCACGUUGGGUAUGCGCAUGUCCCUCCCGGGAGCUUUCAUGGUCUUCUCUUCUCCUCUGGGCUUGGACGAGUGGCUCCGCAGGUUGCGGAAGCAGGGAGCGGGGUUCUCCUCGAAGGUACGCCGGGGUAUGCGAGUGUCCCUCCCGGGAGCUUUCAUGGUCUUUUCUUCUCCACUGGGCUUGGACGAGUUGCUCCGCAGGCUGCGGAAGUAGGUAGCGGGGUCCUCCUCGAAGGGACGCCGGGGUAUGCGCAUCUCCCUCCCGGGAGCUUUCAUGGUCUUUUCUUCUCCGGUGGGCUUGGACGAGUUGCUCCACAGGUUGCAGGACCCCUCGAAGGUACGCUGGGGUAUGCGCAUGUCCCUCCCGGGGGCUUUCAUGGCCUUUUCUUCUCCGCUGGGCUUGGACGAGUUGCUCCGCAGGUUGCGGAAGUAGGUAGCGGGAUCCUCCUCGAAGGGACGCCGGGGUAUGCGCAUGUCUCUCCCGGGAGCUUUCAUGGUCUUUUCUUCUCCGCUGGGCUCGGACGAGUUGCUCCGCAGGUUGCGGAAGUAGGUAGCGGGGUCCUCCUCGAAGGGACGCCGGGGUAUGCGCAUGUCCCUCCCGGGAGCUUUCAUGGUCUUUUCUUCUCCGCUGGGCUUGGACGAGUCGCCCGUCAGACUCAUCACGCCCACGCGCACGGCCAAGGCCCAGAUCGCGUCCAUAGGAAUAUGCCUUCGGAUAUGGUAAAAGCUUUGAGGUCUCUUUAGUGUCGAAGUGUGAGUGCUCAAUGCCUUGUUGCUUAGGGUAAGAGGUGAGUCUUUGGGGGUUAAUUUAUAGCCGCUUUGGUGGCUUUGGAGCUUGGACUUGGGAGUAAUUUCAUUGACGUUGAUGUUGACCUUCACUUGGGGCAAUUCGUUGCUUAAUGCUCUCACACCCCCCGCCCCUCUCCCUCCUCUCCCUCCUCUCCCUCCUCUCCCUCUGCGUGUGUGUGUG
rnacentral:lncRNA from 1 species